UACGGGAGGCAGCAGUGGGGAAUAUUGCACAAUGGGCGCAAGCCUGAUGCAGCCAUGCCGCGUGUAUGAAGAAGGCCUUCGGGUUGUAAAGUACUUUCAGUCGUGAGGAAGGUGUUAAGGUUAAUAACCUUAGCAAUUGACGUUAGCGACAGAAGAAGCACCGGCUAACUCCGUGCCAGCAGCCGCGGUAAUACGGAGGGUGCGAGCGUUAAUCGGAAUUACUGGGCGUAAAGGGCGCGCAGGCGGUUAAUUAAGUUGGAUGUGAAAUCCCCGGGCUUAACCUGGGAAUGGCAUUCAAGACUGGUUAGCUAGAGUCUUGUAGAGGGGGUAGAAUUCCAUGUGUAGCGGUGAAAUGCGUAGAGAUGUGGAGGAAUACCGGGUGGCGAAGGCGGCCCCUGGGACAAAGACUGACGCUCAUGUGCGAAAGCGUGGGGAGCAAACAGGGAUUAGAUACC
rnacentral:rRNA from 1 species